rnacentral:rRNA from 1 species
AUUGAACGCUAGCGGCAGGCCUAACACAUGCAAGUCGAGCGAGCGGCGGACGGGUGAGUAAUGUCUGGUAAACUGCCUGAUGGAGGGGGAUAACUACUGGAACCGGUAGCUAAUACCGCAUACCAUCAGAUGUGCCCAGAUGGGUUUAGGUAGUAGGGGGGGUAAUGGCUCACCUAGGCGACGGUCCCUAGCUGGUCUGAGAGGAUGACAAGCCACACUGGAACUGAGACACGGUCCAGACUCCGACGGGAGGCAGCAGUGGGGAAGAUUGAACAAUGGGCGCAAGCCUGAUGCAGCCAUGCCGCGUGUGUGAAGAAGGCCUUCGGGGUGUAAAGCACUUGCAGCGGGGAGGCGUUACCCGCAGAAGAAGCACCGGCUAACUCCGUGCCAGCAGCCGCGGUAAUAC